GCCACAUUGAAACACCAUGAAAAUCAAAUACCAAACAAACACCCCCAAGAAAGUAAAAGAGCAGUUUCAACUGAAGGAUGCAAGAGUGAGCCGUAACCAGGGAACAUCUAAUGCCUUCCGCAGCAGAGCAGCAAGGGUGCGCAGAGCCAUUCAAACCAGGCACCUGGAGCCCUGCAAAGGUCGGCGCUAUGAAGGAUGUCUGGCCAGCUGUUUGAAAUGGAAUUUGCACGAAGGUUUUCCAGGAAGGACACUAAAAGCUGAUCACAGGCUUGCUGUGAAAUCAUCAAAGAGAAUUAACCACUGAAGAUAUCUGGAAUACAGGGCUUGUCUAGGUGGUUCUCUCCCAAGUUUGGUCGAACCCAGGAGCCAGGCAAUUAGAUACUAAAAGAAGAUGGCUUAAAAUACGAAAGAAACCAUUUGCCUAGAGGAUGCCUCACAGCAAAAGUCUUUAUAUAACUCCCAACUCAUCUUUUCCUGUGACCUCAUCGACUGGUCCUUGUCACAUCAGACCAUCACCAGUUAUCCGUCAACUCCGUGCUCACUCUGACUGUGUAUUGACUUGGACCUGGCACCGGACUUGGUUCUGAGGAUACAUAGUUCAUGUUUUCCUUUCUGGAGAACUCACUGAAGAGAGAAACCUUGGCAGCCGUGAUGGUUUUCCCACCGUGGACUGCGUCGAAUAGGAACACUUGAAUGCCUUCGGAGACUUCAGUGGCCUUUCCCACCUUUGAAGACAGAAGGGAUGGAACCAGAAGCAGUAGGGUUAUUUCCUAACAUUUGUUGAGAUAAUUACAGGACAAUGCCUGAAUUUCCCAACCAGGGCAACAUCACUGGGGAGAGUACCUACCUUCUGAGUGUCUUUUGAAGCACAACCAUGGAUAAAUCCAAGUUCAAAGUGAUUAUCCAGUCAAGGGUGGGUUUUACAGAUGACUCUGUGGUUUUGUUGAAAACACUCCUUUAAUCUGUUGCAAAAUACCAGCACUCUUGCAGGGGCUUCAUUGAUAUCAUCAAACACCAAACAGGGAAAGUUUGGGAAGACCUGAGAUUGUCGGGAUAAAUGCAUCCUGCAGACAGAUACAGGGUGUUCAAAAUUACCCCAUCUUCCACUUCUCAAGUAAACGAAGUAAAAGUGGUGGAAUUGUGAUCUGCCCCAGAUCACCAGGCCAGGCAGAGGUUAAGUAGGUUGGAUGUACCUAUUUCUCAUGGUCUACAGUACGAUGAAUCUACUUCUUAAAAGAGUAUAAUUAAAUGCCUACGAUAGCCUCAGUGUGUUUGAGAUACACAGACAAGCAUGAUGAGAUUCCCUCCUCUACGGAGCAUAGAAGGAAUGAGAAACAGAAGAUUGUCUAUCUCUGUGUGACAAUUUAGACUGAUGAACCCAGAGCCAAGACCCCGGUAGAGAGUGAUUUAGCCACUUUGAGUCCAAAAUUUGAACAGACACUGAUAACUCAAGAAUCAAGUAAUAUUUCCCCAAUACAAAUAGUGUCAGUCUUGCUGGAUUUUUUUUCUUCUGCCAUAUGCUGCCUGGGCUGUUCCUACUCCGUCAGGCCAGCCCUAAUGGCCAUGUGCUCAUGAUCCACACGACCUCAGGGUGACUUCCUUUCUUCCUCCUCUCUCUUCCUCCUGAUCCCAAAUCUCCGACCUCAAGCCCCAGUACUUUUGCUCCACCCCUCUCUUCCACCCAGUCUAGGCUGCAGUCAUUAUUAACCAAUCAGUGAUAACUUGGGAGUGGGGGUUGGAGGGGGGACGACAAGGAUUCCAUAGUCUCAUCUGGGUAUCCACAUCUUGGGGCCAGUAUUUAUCAUUUGGAUACAUAGCAGCACCAGAUCGACCCCCUACCGAGAAUGGAUGAUCCUAGAACAUACAAUAUUGAAUGAGUUCACACCAUCUCAAAAAGUUCACAUUUUUCUACCAUAUGUAGAA